AAGAAGCCUCAACAAGGGAAACCCACUGAAGAGCAGUCAGAUUCAGCAAAUGUUUCUGAAGGGGAAGGUGAUAGAGAUGCUGCACAUAAUACCAUUAUUGAUCUUAUGGAUGCGGCUUUCACAGGUGAAUGGCCAACAGGUAAAGCAGAUGCCUGAGUUCCUGCUCAUAACAGAGGGAGAAGACUUCACUGCAUACUGCAAUUCCUCAAGCACAUUUACCAGCUUACAGUGGUAUAAGCAGAAGCCCAGAGGAAGUCCUUCCCUCUUGGUGAUAUUAACUAAGAGUGGAGAAGUGAAGAAGCAUGAAAGAUACACAGCUCAGAGUGGAGACACAAGGAAGGAGAGCUCCCUGCACAUCACGGCCGCCCAGACUGCAGAUGUGGGAACCUACUUCUGUGCGGUGGCACAGUGUUCUCAAAGCACCUGCUGCCUGUCCCCAAACCUCGCUGUGGGAUCCCAGGAGGAGCUCCUCCUUAUCCCUCCUCAGAGAGGACACUGCGAAAGCUGA